GAUGAACGCUGGCGGCGUGCCUAAUACAUGCAAGUCGAGCGAACGGACGAGAAGCUUGCUUCUCUGAUGUUAGCGGCGGACGGGUGAGUAACACGUGGAUAACCUACCUCUAAGACUUGGAUAACUUCGGGAAACCGGAGCUAAUACCGGAUAAUAUUUUGAACCGCAUGGUUCAAAAGUGAAAGACGGUCUUGCUGUCACUUCUAGAUGGAUCCGCGCUGCAUUAGCUAGUUGGUAAGGUAACGGCUUACCAAGGCAACGAUGCAUAGCCGACCUGAGAGGGUGAUCGGGCACACUGGGACUGAGACACGGUCCAGACUCCUACGGGAGGCAGCAGUAGGGAAUCUUCCGCGAUGGGCGAAAGCCUGACGGAGCAACGCCGCGUGAGUGAUGAAGGGCUUCGGAUCGUAAAACUCUGUUAUUAGGGAAGAACAUAUGUGUAAGUAACUGUGCACAUCUUGACGGUACCUAAUCAGAAAGCCACGGCUAACUACGUG
rnacentral:rRNA from 1 species